rnacentral:other from 1 species
UAUCCUCUGCGGGGUACGAUAACCCGUUCUUAAGCUUCCUUUCCUAUGUUUUGUAAAAACGGGAGCCGGAACUUCGGAUGGAUGCCAGGCUGCCUCACGGCAGAAGGCAGAAGUUCGAAUACUGGCACCCACCUUAGCUUAAAAGGUUAAGGAGCAUGUAACGGAACGGCCCAUGCGGGGGUCUU